UGCACCGUGAGCCCCGAACCCGGGUGCUGCGACUCCCUGCGCCCACCGCCAUUUCGCCCUGUCUGGCCGCAGCCCUCCCAGCCGACCCCCGCCGCUGCCCCCUGCCCCUGACAGCGCCCCUGAACCCCAAGCCACGUCCUCGCCCACCCGCGAAAUCCGUAAACCAGUCAGCACUCCACACACCCAGCCCCCGCUAAGGCCCCGGGUCCCAACGCCAACGACCAGCUUCAGCUUUUGCAGGGGGCUGGGGUGGAAAGUCAGAAGGGGCAACGCGGGUCGCCGGGCUCCCGGGAGGCCUGGGGCACCUGGCCGCUGAGCAGCGGCGUGUGAAGAAAAGCAGAAGAGGCAGGCUCUUCCAACCAAGUCACUGCAGGGUGUGGGGCUCAGACCAGGGGUGCUUGCGGGCCGGCCCAACUGAGGCAGGGCAAGGUUAAGGCCAGGGAAGAGGGCACGGGCUUCCCCGCAGGGCUCCUUCACGUGGUGGCCGCAGACCCGCAGACGGGCCGAAACCCAGCUCCGUCACAGAGUCGGGUCGGCUACCCAGGCGACAGGAGGGCUCAGCCUCUGGUCCCAGGCUGCGACAGCAGGGGGCUUUGGGACUUUUGUUUGUUUUUCUUUGGGGGAAAGACAGUAGGCAUGGACUGCCCAGUGCAGUGCCCAGCCGACAGCGGCUGCACACAGUCCCCUCUUCCCGGGCAGGCCUGGACCUUCAGAAAGAAGAUGGGACCAGAUGAGCUGACCACCUUGUGGGCCGGGUCAAGGCAAGCGUCAAAAGCGAAGAAGGAUGUGUCUUAGGGCCUCCUGGUGUGAGAACCUCCCUAAUGCAGCGCCCCACCCCCUCCCCGCGAAGCCUGGGGACUGGCUCCGUUACCAGAGGUGUCAUUUCCCAGCUGUCUGGGGGAGACUGAGAUGAUGGACGUUGCUGCAUUCACCUGCUUCUUCGGGGAUUGGCAGCCAAACCUCUGGGCCUUACUUCCAAGGCUCCUUCAAAAGACGUGGGGGGGGGGGGCAAGUUCAUUUCUGACGAGCACCUCUGGUGAUUCUGAUGUAGGCGGCACAGAGAAAAACUUCAAU